rnacentral:rRNA from 1 species
UACGUAGGGACCAAGCGUUGUUCGGAUUUACUGGGCGUAAAGGGCGCGUAGGCGGCAAUUCAAGUCAUCUGUGAAAUCUCCGGGCUUAACUCGGAAUGGUCAGAUGAUACUGCUUUGCUAGAGUGCAGAAGGGGCAAUCGGAAUUCUUGGUGUAGCGGUGAAAUGCGUAGAUAUCAAGAGGAACACCUGAGGUGAAGACGGGUUGCUGGGCUGACACUGACGCUGAGGCGCGAAAGCUAGGGUAGCAAACGGG